rnacentral:rRNA from 1 species
AUUGAACGCUGGCGGCAUGCUUUACACAUGCAAGUCGAACGGUAACAGGCCUUCGGGCGCUGACGAGUGGCGAACGGGUGAGUAAUGCAUCGGAACGUGCCCAGUCGUGGGGGAUAACGCAGCGAAAGCUGUGCUAAUACCGCAUACGAUCUGCGGAUGAAAGCGGGGGACCUUCGGGCCUCGCGCGAUUGGAGCGGCCGAUGUCAGAUUAGGUAGUUGGUGGGGUAAAGGCUCACCAAGCCAACGAUCUGUAGCUGGUCUGAGAGGACGACCGGCCACACUGGGACUGAGACACGGCCCAGACUCCUACGGGGGGCAGCAGUGGGGAAUUUUGGACAAUGGGCGCAAGCCUGAUCCAGCAAUGCCGCGUGCAGGAAGAAGGCCUUCGGGUUGUAAACUGCUUUUGUACGGAGCGAAAAGGCUCCCUCUAAUACAGGGGGCUCAUGACGGUACCGUAAGAAUAAGCACCGGCUAACUACGUGCCAGCAGCCGCCGUAACAC